rnacentral:rRNA from 1 species
GAUGAACGCUGACAGAAUGCUUAACACAUGCAAGUCAACUGUGGCGGACGGGUGAGUAACGCGUAAAGAACUUACCUCACGGAUAGGGACAACAUUUGGAAACGAAUGCUAAUACCAGAUACUGUGAGAGAGCUUUGCGUCCCAUUAGCUAGUUGGAGAGGUAACGGCUCACCGAGGCGAUGAUGGGUAGCCGGUCUGAGCGGGUGAUCGGCCACAAGGGGACUGAGACACGGCCCUUACUCCGACGGGAGGCAGCAGUGGGGAAUAUAGGACAAUGGACCAAAGUCUGAUCCGGCAAUUCUGUGUGCACGAUGAAGUUUUCGGAAUGUAAAGUGCUUUCAGUUGGGAAGCGGUACCCACAGAAGAAGUGACGGCUAAAUACGUGCCAGCAGCCGCGGUAAUAC